AGUGAACGCUGGCGGCGUGCCUAAUACAUGCAAGUCGAACGAAGUGGCGCACGGGUGAGUAAUAUAUAGUUAAUCUGCCCUACACAGAGGAACAACAGUUGGAAACGACUGCUAAUACCUCAUAGUGUAGGAUGAGACUAUAUCGUAUCAGCUCGUUGGUAAGGUAAUGGCUUACCAAGGCUAUGACGCGUAACUGGUCUGGGAGGCUGAUCAGUCACGUUGGAACUGAGUCACGGUCCAAACUCCGACGGAAAGGAGCAUUAAGCAAUAUUGCGCGAUGGGGGAAACUCUGACGCAGCAACGAAGCGUUGAGGAUGACGCUUUUCGGACCGAAAACUCCUUGUAGCAGGAAAGCGGUACCUGAGUGGUAGGCACCGGCUAACUCCGUGCAAGCAGACGCGGUAAUGC
rnacentral:rRNA from 1 species